CCGGAGGUCAUUGCUAGUGGAGUCCGAUUUAGCCAUGCUAGUUGCACGAGUUCAGACUCGUAGCAGAUAGCUCAGUAACACGUGGCCAAACUACCCUCUGGAUCGGAACAACCUCGGGAAACUGAGGCUAAUUCCGAAUAGCGUUCUCAGCUUGGAGUAGAGAGAACGUGAAAUGCUCCGGCGCCAGAGGAUGUGGCUGCGGCCGAUUAGGUAGACGGUGGGGUAACGGCCCACCGUGCCAGUAAUCGGUACGGGUUGUGAGAGCAAGAGCCCGGAGACGGUAUCUGAGACAAGAUACCGGGCCCUACGGGGCGCAGCAGGCGCGAAACCUUUACACUGCACGCCAGUGCGAUAAGGGGACUCCAUCUGCGAGGGCAUAUCGUCCUCGCUUUUCUGCACCGUAAGGUGGUGCAGGAAUAAGGGCUGGGCAAGACCGGUGCCAGCCGCCGCGGUAAUACCGGCAGCCCGAGUGAUGACCGCUAUUAUUGGGCCUAAAGCGUCCGUAGCUGGCCAGGCAAGUCCAUCGGGAAAUCCGCGCGCCCAACGCGCGGGCGUCCGGUGGAACCUGCUUGGCUUGGGACCGGAAGACCUGAGGGGUACGUCCGGGGUAGGAGUGAAAUCCCGUAAUCCUGGACGGACCACCGGUGGCGAAAGCGCCUCAGGAAGACGGAUCCGACGGUGAGGGACGAAAGCUCGGGUCACGAACCGGAUUAGAUACCCGGGUAGUCCGAGCUGUAAACGAUGUCUGCUAGGUGUGCCACAGGCUACGAGCCUGUGGUGUGCCGUAGGGAAGCCGUGAAGCAGACCGCCUGGGAAGUACGUCCGCAAGGAUGAAACUUAAAGGAAUUGGCGGGGGAGCACUACAACCGGAGGAGCCUGCGG
rnacentral:rRNA from 1 species